rnacentral:lncRNA from 1 species
UUUAUCCACCGUCACACCCUGCGGGUCGACGGUCCGCAUCCUGGACUUUCGGAUAAUUUAAUUACCGUCGGUAAUAAACCACUCCGCAAAACCCGGAGACCCGGAAAGAAACCAGCCGUCGUCUCCACUCCGUUGUCCAUCAAGAACGUGGAAUUCGUGGGUCUGAAUAACGACGAAGAUUUUUUUUUCAAUAUUGAUCGCUCCGCAGUUUCUGGUACUUUGAAAAAAUCCAAUCCCAAGACUUUUUGCGAUUGUCUUUGUACCGCGAGCACCGACCUUUCGAGUCCCUCUAAAAAUCGGACAAAACGAUUUUCUGGGAAAGGUAGCCAAAAAAUAUGAGUGCAGGAAACAAAACGAGAAAAGGUAUCUGAAUACAUCCCAUGUGGUAUGAAUUAAAGUCGAAUUAUAAGUCUGAAUAUUUUUCUGAGAUAAAAUAAUGAACU